rnacentral:rRNA from 1 species
CGAAGGGCUAGCGUUGCUCGGAAUUACUGGGCGUAAAGGGCGCGUAGGCGGAUCAGCAAGUUGGGUGAAAGCCCGGGGCUCAACCUCGGAAUUGCCUUCAAAACUGCUGAUCUAGAGUGCGGGAGAGGUGUGUGGAACUCCGAGUGUAGAGGUGAAAUUCGUAGAUAUUCGGAAGAACACCAGUGGCGAAGGCGACACACUGGCCCGUUACUGACGCUGAGGCGCGAAAGCGUGGGGAGCAAACAGGAUU